rnacentral:rRNA from 1 species
AUACGGAGGGAGCAAGCGUUAUUCGGAAUCACUGGGCGUAAAGGACGCGUAGGCGGGUUUGUAAGUCAGGUGUGAAAUCCUACAGCUCAACUGUAGAACAGCACUUGAAACUACAGACCUAGAGUAUGGAAGGGGCAGAUGGAAUUAGUGGUGUAGGGGUAAAAUCCGUAGAUAUCACUAGGAAUACCGAAAGCGAAGGCGAUCUGCUGGGACAUUACUGACGCUGAGGCGUGAAAGCGUGGGGAGCAAACAGGAUUAGAUACCCGAGUAGUCC